rnacentral:lncRNA from 1 species
UGUGUUGUUGUUUGAGGAACAUUCGGGGAUGAAUGUUCUUAAGGGGGGAAGAAUGUAAUACCCGGCUCGAGUCCGGCCUCGGAAUUCCUGUCGUCUGGUGGAAUCUCGGGUGUCGGAACCCUCGAGAAGGGUAAGACCUAUGUUUUCAUUAGUGUUUUAAGAGUUUUGAAUGGUUUAAAGUGUUAAAGGAAAUGCGUUUUGAAAGAAAAGCAAUAAGGGAGAAAUGCAAAGGUUCGGCCGCCGAAGGUCACUUUCGGCCGCCGAACAUUGCAUGGUUUCAGAUUCACGUUCGGCUGCCGAAGGUGGUCUGGCUAGCCACCUAUUUAAGGGCCAAAGGUCGGUGGAAGGAGGAUAUUUCUCCUCCACUUGCAGCCAGAGGUGAGUUCCAGCCUCUCCCAAGUUGACUUUCAUGUUUUUCAUGUUUUUCACCAAAUCUUUCAAAGGUUUUACAAGUCUUGGUGUGUUUUGAAGGUUUUG